GAAGGGAGAAGAAAUGUGUGGGAGAUAUCAGAAAGGGAGAAUGAACAUAAAGACUCCUAACUCUGGGAAAUGAACUAGGGGUGGUGGAAAGGGAGGUGGGCGGGGGGUGGGGGUGAAUGGGUGACGGCACUGAGGGGGGCACUUGACGGGAUGAGCACUGGGUGUUAUUCUGUAUGUUGGUAAAUUGAACACCAAUAAAAAAUUAAUUUAUUAAAAAAAUAAAAUAAAUAAAAUAAAAUAAAAUAAUACCAGACAGCAAGUAACAUGAGGACAAUUCUAGUGUGUAACUAACUGUAGGCUAGCCAUUGAUUUCGAGCCAGCCCCCAAACCAGUGCACUAGAGGUACUUAGUACUUACUUUUUAAUUUUCUGAAUGAAUAAAUUGCCUUUUGAACUAUACUGCAAAAUUGCUUUUCAAAAUUACAUGAACAUUUACUAAAGUCGCAAUAUGUGAAUAUACUGGUUUCAUCUUAUUAAAACUGGGUAUUUCAUUGAUUUAAAGAUACUUCAAUAUUUUGAAGUUUUUAUAUAUAAUAUGUAAUAACUUACAUUGUUUUGGUAAUGAAGUUUAAUGUAUGUCUGUUGUUUAAUUGUAUUUGCUUUUUCUAAUUGUUGGUUCAGAUUUGGAAAACGAGGUUCAGGGAAACUGAAUGAUAAGCAAGAAAUAUGCCCUGGAAUGGAAACUAGAAUCCUAUGCCAGAGUUUUGGGAACUGAUGUGCUGCAAACCAAAUUCAUAUCCCUAACUCAAGUUCAAAGCCUGAAGAUGCCCAGAAUUUUGGGUUGGACAAUGGAGUGAAGUGCUUUGAAAAUUGGUUUGCUUUUUUCCACUAUAUAUCCUCUCCCUCUGUGUAUCCUCUUCGUCAGUAAGCACUACCUGUACCAUUUCAGGUUUCUGAAUCCUGAAAUUGUUAUUUUGAUUAAGUUGAAGUUAGGUCACAGAACAUCAUGUUCUCUGAGACCAUUUCUUUUGUUUUAAAUGAUUUCAUUUAUUUGAGAGAAUGAAACAGAGCAUGAGUGGGAGGAUGGAAGGAAGAGAGGGAAAAGCAGACUCCUCCCUGAGCAGGUACCCCAAUUUGGGGCUCCAUCUCAGGCCCUCAGGAACACGACUUGGGCCGAAAGCAGACAGUUAACUGACUGAACCACCCAGGUGCCCCACAAGACCACAUCUUUUCAUGACUCUAAUAUGGCACUUACCUGUUGGAGUUGUGUUAGUUGUUCUCAUGUCUACAUAGCCCAUUUGUAUUAGAGCCCCUUAAAAGCAGAGACUAUAACUAAUUCCUUUUUUUAUUCUUAGCAUCUAGUCCAGGAUGUGCUUGUCAAAAAAAAGUGAUUUAUAAAUAUUUGCUGAAGAAAUGAAUUAAUGAAUGAUAGAUAUACAUUUUAAUAAACGGAGUAUACAUAAACUGAGACCA
rnacentral:lncRNA from 12 species